rnacentral:rRNA from 1 species
UACAGAGGGUGCGAGCGUUAAUCGGAAUUACUGGGCGUAAAGCGUGCGCAGGCGGCUUCCUAAGUCAGAUGUGAAAUCCCCGGGCUUAACCUGGGAACUGCGUUUGAAACUGGGAGGCUGGAGUGCGGCAGAGGGGGGUGGAAUUCCACGUGUAGCAGUGAAAUGCGUAGAUAUGUGGAGGAACACCGAUGGCGAAGGCAGCCCCCUGGGCCUGCACUGACGCUCAUGCACGAAAGCGUGGGGAGCAAACAGG